AUUGAACGCUGGCGGCAGGCCUAACACAUGCAAGUCGAACGGUAACAGGAAACAGCUUGCUGUUUCGCUGACGAGUGGCGGACGGGUGAGUAAUGUCUGGGAAACUGCCUGAUGGAGGGGGAUAACUACUGGAAACGGUAGCUAAUACCGCAUAACGUCGCAAGACCAAAGAGGGGGACCUUCGGGCCUCUUGCCAUCGGAUGUGCCCAGAUGGGAUUAGCUAGUAGGUGGGGUAACGGCUCACCUAGGUGACGAUCCCUAGCUGGUCUGAGAGGAUGACCAGCCACACUGGAACUGAGACACGGUCCAGACUCCUACGGGAGGCAGCAGUGGGGAAUAUUGCACAAUGGGCGCAAGCCUGAUGCAGCCAUGCCGCGUGUAUGAAGAAGGCCUUCGGGUUGUAAAGUACUUUCAGCGGGGAGGAAGGGAGUAAAGUUAAUACCUUUGCUCAUUGACGUUACCCGCAGAAGAAGCACCGGCUAACUCCGUG
rnacentral:rRNA from 1 species